GGAGGAGAGUCGCAGUGGAUAGGGAACCAGGCUGGGAGCCAGGACACCUGGGUUCUACUCCCAGCUCUGUCA
rnacentral:tRNA from 1 species